ensembl:lincRNA
GGCCUCAUUUAUAGUCACUUUCAUACAAAUAAGGAAAUUGAGUCUGAGUGGCUUGCCAAAUUGUCAACCAAUAAAUGCUAGAGUCGGACUAGAAACCAGACCCCACCACCGUGCUUUCUCCGUAAGUCCUUGGGAGCCACUGAAGUAACUUGUGCACAGGCUCUUGUAAUGGGAUUCCAGGCUGCAAUGUCCAACUUGAUUUAUCUUUUGGGCAGAAGAUUUAAAUAAACAGGACAGAAAUUUCAAGUCUGGCAGCAGUCCUUAAGGAUACACUGGAGAGAAGAGAUGCUCAGGAAUACCGAGAUGUGGAAAACCAAGAUAAGAACCAAAGAGAUGAAACCGAAUAAAACGUAUUUGUAAAGCUGUGCCUUUAAGAUUAUAAAUAUCCACUUCAUAAGUUCAGGUUGCAUAAAAACUGGAUUAACAGUUCAUAAGAAAUCUACAACUUAAUUAACCACAAGAUUAAUGAAAGUUUAGUGUUAGGUAGCUGCUAAAAACAAAUGUCCUAUUUAACUGUGUGAUCUGAAAAUGAGUGUCCAGAACAAGAAAGGCAGGACUCUGCAUGCUUUUUAUACCACCAGGAAGCGCGUCCAGCUCCAGGUGCUAAACUCUAAAAAUGAUACUCUUCAUAAACUGGACAAGUAUAAACUGAACCGGGACAACUAGGAUGACGGUGAAGGACCGAAGAAAACCAUGGGAGUUUUACGAGGAAACCCGAAAUCGAACAGGAGAAAAGGAACAGAUUUCCAAGAGCAAGAAACAAGGCGGGAUGAGGGCCAGUGUGAGACUGCAGAGUUUGGCCAAAUGUCGACUAUUUUCUCCCAGUUUUCUGUUUCUAGGAAAGACACCACGUCCUUUAAGAGGUGUCCUAAUCAUUAUGUCAACACAACUGAGCUUCACAUGGAAACCAAAUUGCACUUGGACCCAAACCCAGAAGGAGAUGAAACAACCUACACUGUGCACCUGGGAGGAGAAGCCAAAGGCACAUGCAUGGCCUUUGAAUCACAGGUAGACCUGCUUAAAAACAAGACUGUCCUCUUCACCACGUUUUUAAAUAGUCAUUAGUAGGUGACUGGGAGGAGCUAAGAAAGAGUCUGGAGAGAUAAGAGCCAGGUAAUGAGUCAUCCUACAAGGAUUUGUAUCCAUUGUCAUGCACACGCAGAAUGAUUCAAAGUUGAACAAGAGCCUUUCAAAAAUAAACUUGGACUCAAUGCGCAUGUGCGAGCUAAGUCACUUCAGUUGUGUCUGACUCUUUGCGACCCUAUGGACUGCAGCCCACCAGGUUCCUCUGUCCAUGGGAUUCUCUAGGCAAGAAUACUGGAGUGGGUUGCCAUGUUCUCCAAGGGGUCUUCCCAACCCACGUCUCUUAUGUCUCCUGCAUUGGCAGGCAGAUUCUUUAAUGAAGAAUUUUUGCAGUUUCUUCAAUGUAAUCCCUUUCAAAAUGUCAAUGGCAUUUUUCACUAGAACUACAACAGAUAAUUUUUAAAUGUGUAUGAAAACACAAAAGACCUGAAAUAACCAAAACAAUAUAAAGAAAGAACAGAGCUGGAGGAGUCACACUCCCUGACUUCACAUUACACUACAAAGCUACAGCCAUCAAAACAGUUAUAGUACUGGCACAAAGCGUACACAUAUGUCAGUGGAACAGAAUAUAGAGUCCAGAAAUCAACCUAUAUAAAUCAUUCCAGAAAAGUGAGCCAUUGUAAUUUCAUCAGGUUACUAUGAAUAAG